rnacentral:rRNA from 1 species
ACGAACGAACUAAAGGAAGUUGACGGGGCCCGCGACAAGCGGAGGAGCAUGUGGUUAAUUCGAUGAUACGCGAGGAACUUACCUGGGCUCGAACGUAAGAUGACUGUAGGUGAAAGCUUACAUCUCUUCGGAGCAUUUUACGAGGUGCUGCAUGGUUGUCGUCAGCUCGUGCCGUGAGGUGUCGGGUUAAGUCCCAUAACGAGCGCAACCCCUACCUUAGUUGCCAUCAGGUAAUGCUGGGGACUCUAAAGGAACUGCCUACGCAAGUAGUGAGGAAGGCGGGGAUGACGUCAAAUCAGCACGGCCCUUACGUCCAGGGCUACACACGUGCUACAAUGGCCGAUACAGAGGGCAGCUACCUGGUGACAGGAUACAAAUCUCCAAAGUCGGUCUCAGUUCGGAUCGGAGUCUGCAACCCGACUCCGUGAAGUUGGAUUCGCUAGUAAUCGCGCAUCAGCCAUGGCGCGGUGAAUACGUUCCCGGGCCUU